rnacentral:rRNA from 1 species
UACAGAGGUCUCAAGCGUUGUUCGGAUUCAUUGGGCGUAAAGGGUGCGUAGGUGGCGUCGUAAGUCAGGUGUGAAAUCUCGGGGCUUAACUCCGAAACUGCAUUUGAUACUGCGGUGCUUGAGGACUGGAGAGGAGGCUGGAAUUUACGGUGUAGCAGUGAAAUGCGUAGAGAUCGUAAGGAAGACCAGUGGCGAAGGCGGGUCUCUGGGCCGAUACUGACGCUGAGGAGCGAAAGCGUGGGGAGCGAACAGG